CGUUACCCAGGCAAAAUGUUUUGCUUUAGAGAGAUGAGACUUAAACAAAUAAUUAGUGUAUCAUGAGGAGCAAUUUGUUUACUAAUAGCAAAAUUUGUUUGAAUUGUAGUUUUUAAGUUAUUUAAGAAAAACAAAUUUUGCUGGAGUAACGUUUGAAACGUUACCCAGGCAAAAUCGUCUUUCAAAAAUUAGUUUCAGCACGGAACCAAAUACAUGAAUAGAUAGCUUUUGUUGAGUAGUAAAUGUUUAUAAAUAGCAAAAUUUGUGUGUGGUAUAGUUCUUUAGUUAUUUAAGAUUUUGCUGCGGUAACGUUUUGGGAUUUCCCAGAUCUCGAAAACGGCUCAACGCAGAAGUUUGAAAAAAAUACCAAUAAAAGACCUUAAUUUGUUUAAAUUUGUUUAAUCAUUAGUUUUUGAUUUGGUUGACGUAAACCAAUGUAAUUAAAUGGUUUCAAAAAUCAGAAGAAGCGGGUUUACAUGUAAACCAAUACACUUAUAACCAAAUAAACAGCUGUAAAAAAUACCCGUGGUUCGACGCUUGUUUACAGCAGACAUUUUAGAUUUCAUACUUUACACGUUAAGAAGAUAAAAACAAAUUUGAUUUAUUUUAGACUGGUCGUACUUUAGCGAUCGAAUACGCAGUUCCCAUAACAUUAAGAAACAUGGCAUACUUUAAACAAAUUAAAAUGAUUCAUGAAAAUUCUUUCCUGUUAAUUUCAGCCUUGAAUUACGGCUCUAAUGAAAGUUAUCUCAAAAACAAGAAUAUGUCAGCAAUUCUCUAAUAAGCCGACCAAAUUGAAAAGGUCACGUAAAAGCGACUGCACCGUACGUACGGGUAAUCUUCGCAAAUUAGCAGCUUGGUAACCGAUGUUUUGUACAGUUAAGCAGAAAAACGUUAUUCGUGAAGCCGAUUUUUUAAUAUUUUUUAAGUGCAGUACCAUAUUACACAAUUUUUACUAGUUAAUAAAAGUGUAAUAUCAUAGUGUAUAAUUUAUAGUGUGAUUUAAAACAAUACAAACAUAUAUACAUGUAGCUAUAUUUUUAGUACUUAAUUUGUUGUUUCUGUUAAACCAAAUGUUUUAUUUUGAUACCACAACGCAAAGCCACGCUAAAAACGUUUUAACGUUCUUGAUGCUAGUCAGAGCAGCGCGCAUCGCUGUGUGCAAUGCAACGCAACAGCUAUAUGCCUUGUCUUACUUACUCUUUAGCUGUGAGUAGUUGAGUACGCUCUAUCUAUGGGUACGCUAGCUCCGACCGAACCAAUGAAACAAUCAGUCGUGAACCAAGUGUUUUGGAGAGAAGUGCUUGUGGUUUAUGUGUGUGUGUACGACGACGUCUUUGAACGAUAUGGUUGCGCUUAUGUAUGGUGCGGUCGCUUUUAUGUGACCUUUUCAAUUUGGUCGGCUCAUUAGAGAAUUGCUGACAUAAUCUUGUUUUUGAGAUAACUUUCAUUAGAGCCGUAAUUCAAAGCUGCAAUUAACAGGAAGGAAUUUUCAGGAAUCAUUUUAAUUUGUUUAAAGUAUGCCAUGUUUCUUAAUGUUAUGGGAACUGCGUAUUUGAUCGCUAAAGUACGACCAGUCUAAAAUAAAUCAAAUUUGUUUUUAUCUUCUUAAUGUGUAAAGUAUGAAAUCUAAUAUUUCUGAUGUAAACAAGCGUCGAACCACGGGUAUUUUUUACAGCUGUUUAUUUGGUUAUAAGUGUAUUGGUUUACAUGUAAACCCGCUUCUUCUGAUUUUUGAAACCAUUUAAUUACAUUGGUUUACGUCAACCAAAUCAAAAACUAAUGAUUAAACAAAUUUAAACAAA